ACUUUUGCCUCUGCUCCCUCAUCCAAUAUUGAAAAUCCAUUACUGCAUCUAAUUCCCAAAUCAUGUGGUUGGUACCCUGUUUCUAUCACAAUACCUUUGUUCUUGUGCUUUGUAGCUCCCACCAGUGUCCAUAUUUUGUCAUAUUCACCUAUAUUUACUCUUUUUUCCUUUGGUGUCACUUUUACCUCCUCUAGGAUCUCUAUUGUGUUAGUAUCUUGUUGUUCUUGUUGUUUUUUGACAGUCCAUAUUUUAUUUAUCACUGGCUUUUCUUUUUCACACACAUGUCCAACUCUAUUACACUUCUUGCAAAAUGGAGGUCUCCAUUCAUACUCAAUCCUAUGUUAA